CCUGGUGGCUCAGUGGUAAAGAUUCUGCCUGCAAUGCAGGAGAUGUGGGUUUGAUCCCCACGUCAGGA
rnacentral:tRNA from 1 species